GUCAAAGAUAAAAAGGCUUACGGUGGAUACCUAGGCAUUCAAAGACGAUGAAGGGCGUGGAAACCGACGAAACGCUUCGAGGAGCUGGAAACAAGCAAUGAUUCGGAGAUUCCCGAAUAGGGCAACCUCUUGUACUUCCUUUUGAAUUCAUAGAAAGGAAAGAGACAACCCGGUGAAUUGAAACAUCUUAGUAGCCGGAGGAAAAGAAAGCAAACGCGAUUCCCGUAGUAGCGGCGAGCGAACUGGGAACAGUCUAAACCGAUUCGAUAUUCUCGAGUCGGGGUUGUGGGAAGAAACAAAACUUUUGUAUCUUUUUAAAAGAAAAGGCACUACGAGGUAUCUUUUAUUUAAAUCAAUUUGUGAAGUUGUUAUCUUCUUUUCAAUUCUUUUGCAAAAGAUAUAACAAAUAAAAGGCUCGUAGAUUUACCUAGACGAAGCAGCUGAAUCCUGCACCAUAGACGGUGAAAGUCCGGUAGUUUAAAGGAUAAUAACUAAAAAGAAUUCUUAUCCCGAGUAGCAUGGGGCACGUGAAAUCCCGUGUGAAUCAGCGAGGACCACCUCGUAAGGCUAAAUACUUUUGGAUGACCGAUAGUGAAAUAGUACCGUGAGGGAAAGGUGAAAAAGAACCCCUGUAGGGGAGUGAAAUAGAACAUGAAACCGUAAGCUGUCAAGCAGUGGGAGGACAAGAAUAAAUCUAAUUUUUUCUAAGUUUGACCGCGUGCCUGUUGAAGAAUGAGCCGGCGACUUAUAAGGAGUGGCUUGGUUAAGGUUAAAAGCCGAAGCCAAAGCGAAAGCAAGUCUUAAUAGGGCUCCAUUAAAUUGUCACUUCUUAUGGACCCGAACCCGGGUGAUCUAACCAUGGCCAGGAUGAAGCUUGGGUAAAACCAAGUGGAGGUCCGAACCGACCGAUGUUGAAAAAUCGGCGGAUGAGUUGUGGUUAGGGGUGAAAUGCCAAUCGAACUCGGAGCUAGCUGGAUCUCCCCGAAAUGCGUUGAGGCGCAGCGGUUAACGAUGGGCUGUCUAGGGGUAAAGCACUGUUUCGGUGCGGGCUGCGAGAGCGGUACCAAAUCGUAGCAAACUAAGAAUACUAGACACUGCUUUCCGUUAACCAGUGAGACGGUGGGGGAUAAGCUCCAUCGUCGAGAGGGAAACAGCCCAGAUCACCAGCUAAGGCCCCAAAAUGACCGCUAAGUGGCAAAGGAUGUGAGAAUGCUGAAACAACCAGAAGGUUUGCUUAGAAGCAGCCACCCUUUAAAGAGUGCGUAAUAGCUCACUGGUAGAGCGUUCUUGCGCCGAAAAUGAACGGGACUAAGCGGUCUGCCGAAGCUGUGGGUAAUAUCAUUUGAUUUGAUAUUACGGUAGGGGAGCGUUCCGCUCUAGGGUGAAGCUCCAACGUAAGUUGGUGUGGACAAAGCGGAAGUGAGAAUGUCGGCUUGAGUAACGAAAACAUUGGUGAGAAUCCAAUGCCCCGAAAACCUAAGGCUUCCUCCACUAGGCUCGUCCAUGGGGGGUUAGUCGGGACCUAAGGCCAGGCCGAAAGGCGUAGUCGAUGGAAAACAGGUUAAUAUUCCUGUACUGAUUUUGAAGUGGUACCGAGGGACGAAGGAGGGAACAGUUGGCCAAUAUUGGAUGUUGGCGGAAACGUUCAAGGUGAUGAGAGAUAGAAUAAAAACUAUUCUUGAGCUGAGGCGUGAUACGGUUUUAUUCAAUGUAUGAGAGCUUUGCUCAAAUUCAAAAUAAAACUCAAUUAGUUGUCAAACUUCCUAGAAAAGCUCGAACUUCCAAUACUUCAAAAUUACCCGUACCCGAAACCGACACAGGUAGGUAGGUAGAGUAUACCAAGGGGCGCGAGAUAACUCUCUCUAAGGAACUCGGCAAAAUGGCCCCGUAACUUCGGGAGAAGGGGCGCCCUCAAUUAAGAGGGCCGCAGUGACCAGGCCCAGGCGACUGUUUACCAAAAACACAGGUCUCCGCUAAGUCGUAAGACAAUAUAUGGGGGCCGACACCUGCCCAGUGCCGGAAGGUGAAGGAAGUUGGUUACUUGGACUUGUUCAAGAAAGCUGACAACCGAAGCCCCGGUGAACGGCGGCCGUAACUCUGACGGUCCUAAGGUAGCGAAAUUCCUUGUCAGGUAAGUUCUGACCCGCACGAAAGGUGUAACGAUCUGGGCACUGUCUCGGAGAGAGGCUCGGUGAAAUAGACAUGUCCGUGAAGAUGCGGACUACCUACACCUGGACAGAAAAACCCUAUGAAGCUUUACUGUAACCUGGAAUUGAAUUUGGGCUUUUCUUGCGCAGUCUAGGUGGGAGGCGUUGACAGUUCCCUUCCGGGGGGGCUUGAGCCAUCAGUGAGAGACCACUCUGGAGAAGCUAGAAUUCUAAUGGCGGUCCUUGAAUCAGGACGCUUGACAGUUUCAGGCGGGCAGUUUGACUGGGGCGGUCGUCUCCUAAAAGGUAACGGAGAUGUGCAAAGGUUCCCUCAGGCUGGACGGAAAUCAGCCGAAGAGUGUAAAGGCAGAAGGGAGCUUGACUGCAAGACCUACAAGUCGAGCAGGGGCGAAAGCCGGCCUUAGUGAUCCGACGGUACCGAGUGGAAGGGCCGUCGCUCAACGGAUAAAAGUUACUCUAGGGAUAACAGGCUGAUCUUCCCCAAGAGUUCACAUCGACGGGAAGGUUUGGCACCUCGAUGUCGGCUCAUCGCAACCUGGGGCGGUAGUACGUCCCAAGGGUUGGGCUGUUCGCCCAUGAAAGCGGUACGUGAGCUGGGUUCAGAACGUCGUGAGACAGUUCGGUCCAUAUCCGGUGUAGGCGUUAGAGCGUUGAGAGGAGCCUUCCAUAGUACGAGAGGACCUAGAAGGACGCACCACUAGUAUACCAGUUCUCGUUCCAACGGGAAACGCUGGGUAGCCAAGUGCGGAGCGGAUAACUGCUGAAAGCAUCUAAGUAGGAAGCCCACCUCAAGAUGAGCGCUCUCCAGAGGUCUCGGCAAGAGAAGCCGUUUGAUAGGUGUCAGGUGUAAGGCCAGCAAUGGUUGUAGCUGAGACAUACUAACCGACCGAUUGAAUUUGAC
rnacentral:rRNA from 1 species